GCCAGUGUGGCAUAAUGGUUUGAGUGUUGGACUGUGACUUUAGAGAUCAGGGUUUGAAUCCCACUCAGCCA
rnacentral:tRNA from 1 species